rnacentral:tRNA from 1 species
GGUUGUAGCUCAGUGGUAGAGCGCUUGCCUUGCAUGUGUGAUGCACUGGGUUCGAUCUUCAGCACCA